UGAUGAGGCAUUUGCAGGGUUGGACUUCAUGCUGUCGCUGCAUCAGGGGCAGCAUGCUGAGAACAUGCGCGUGGUGAGGGGUUCAAGCCUGGUGACCGCGUACGAUUGUUGGAGGGCACGGAGCUGUUCGACAAGGAGGUGGCCACCUAUUCACAGGACAUUUUUACACCGUGACUCGGCAGAAGGGCUAUAGGUUCGCCAUGGAGGGCAAGCGACGCCUGCAUAGCCCGUCGGAAAUGCUGUUGGUUCGUAAAGUGACUACAGGGUAGCAGGCGGGGCGCCAGGCAGAGGCAGCACAGGAGCAGCGCCAGGUGCGGCGUGUUGCGCGUGCUCUUGCCACAACUCAGCAGCAGGCUACACGUGCUAUUGAAGCUCAAGAGGCACCACCAGCUGCGCCUGCAAACAAGCCUGCGGGCACGCGUGGCGAAACACACUUCGAAGUGUCGCGCUUCGAGGAUAGCAAAUAUGUAAAGGUCAAUCGUGCAUGUCUCCCAAUAUCCUAGUAUCGAAGACCCUGACCCCUGGGACCUCUCAUUCUUAACCUUCUCAGCAGACAUGGCGCACCUGGCAGCCGCGGGCUGCAGCCCCAGCUGAUCCCGCGCAUUGAAAUUCUACGCCACAGAGUUGUAUACGCGUUGGCGCCGCUGCAUGUUGCGUGCCUGGCUCAUACGCUACCAUAUGUAUCUGAGAUGCCUAUUCGGGGGUUGUGCAAGCUUCCGUGUGUGUCCUGACCCGAAUGCGCAUUUGUUUUGUCGCGUUGACACCACAUAUUGUUAUGAGACGCAGCCCAUCCUACUUAUGCAGGCUCCAGUAGGACAUUUCCGUUAUCCCGGCGACUUAGCACGAGGCCGACGUCUCACCGGCAGCAGUAGCGCCAAGCAGAGUGUUAAGAUCCGCCCGCGACCAGAUAAUGGCUCCAUCUAGUCUAUAUGAUUACAUGGAGGGUUCCUGGCGCGCCAGGCGCUCCAAAAAGGGAAAGGUUGCAGAAUUGCUCGGUGAAUUUCAAACGUCGGUCAAAGGCCAGUAAACUAGUCGCCCGGCGCGCCAGGGGUCUUCUAUGGGGUACUCCUUAUUGGUCUAUGCAAAGAAAUCGGGCCGGGGCCUGGUCGCAACUGGGAAAUGGGGGCGGUUGCCGACCGUUACCGAUCACAUGGGCCGAGUUGGCCACCCCGCACCCCUGGUUUUUGGUGAGAUUUAAAGGAUUUCCC
rnacentral:lncRNA from 1 species